CCUACGGGAGGCAGCAGUGGGGAAUAUUGCGCAAUGGGCGGAAGCCUGACGCAGCGACGCCGCGUGGGGGAUGACGGCCUUCGGGUUGUAAACCUCUUUCAGCAGGGACGAAGCCUUUCGGGGUGACGGUACCUGCAGAAGAAGCACCGGCCAACUACGUGCCAGCAGCCGCGGUAAUACGUAGGGUGCAAGCGUUGUCCGGAAUUAUUGGGCGUAAAGAGCUCGUAGGCGGUUUGUCGCGUCGGCUGUGAAAACCUGAGGCUCAACCUCAGGCCUGCAGUCGAUACGGGCAGACUUGAGUAUUGCAGGGGAGACUGGAAUUCCUGGUGUAGCGGUGAAAUGCGCAGAUAUCAGGAGGAACACCGGUGGCGAAGGCGGGUCUCUGGGCAAUAACUGACGCUGAGGAGCGAAAGCGUGGGGAGCGAACAGGAUUAGAUACCCUGGUAGUCCACGCCGUAAACGUUGGGCGCUAGGUGUGGGGGCCAUUCCACGGUCUCCGUGCCGCAGCUAACGCAUUAAGCGCCCCGCCUGGGGAGUACGGCCGCAAGGCUAAAACUCAAAGGAAUUGACGGGGGCCCGCACAAGCGGCGGAGCAUGUUGCUUAAUUCGAUGCAACGCGAAGAACCUUACCUAGGCUUGACAUGUGCGGAAAUCCGUCAGAGAUGGCGGGUCCGUAAGGGCCGUGCACAGGUGGUGCAUGGUUGUCGUCAGCUCGUGUCGUGAGAUGUUGGGUUAAGUCCCGCAACGAGCGCAACCCUCGUUCCAUGUUGCCAGCGGAUCAUGCCGGGGACUCAUGGGAGACUGCCGGGGUCAACUCGGAGGAAGGUGGGGAUGACGUCAAAUCAUCAUGCCCCUUAUGUCUAGGGCUGCAAACAUGCUACAAUGGCCGGUACAAAGGGCUGCGAUACCGUGAGGUGGAGCGAAUCCCAAAAAGCCGGUCUCAGUUCGGAUUGGGGUCUGCAACUCGACCCCAUGAAGUUGGAGUCGCUAGUAAUCGCAGAUCAGCAACGCUGCGGUGAAUACGUUCCCGGGCCUUGUACACACCGCC
rnacentral:rRNA from 1 species